rnacentral:rRNA from 2 species
GGCUUAACCCGGAGAAGUGCAUCGGAAACUGGGAGACUUGAGUGCAGAAGAGGACAGUGGAACUCCAUGUGUAGCGGUGGAAUGCGUAGAUAUAUGGAAGAACACCAGUGGCGAAGGCGGCUGUCUAGUCUGUAACUGACGCUGAGGCUCGAAAGCAUGGGUAGCGAACAGGAUUAGAUACCCUGGUAGUCCAUGCCGUAAACGAUGAGUGCUAAGUGUUGGAGGGUUUCCGCCCUUCAGUGCUGCAGCUAACGCAUUAAGCACUCCGCCUGGGGAGUACGACCGCAAGGUUGAAACUCAAAGGAAUUGACGGGGGCCCGCACAAGCGGUGGAGCAUGUGGUUUAAUUCGAAGCUACGCGAAGAACCUUACCAGGUCUUGACAUCUUCUGCCAAUCUUAGAGAUAAGACGUUCCCUUCGGGGACAGAAUGACAGGUGGUGCAUGGUUGUCGUCAGCUCGUGUCGUGAGAUGUUGGGUUAAGUCCCGCAACGAGCGCAACCCUUAUUAUCAGUUGCCAGCAUUCAGUUGGGCACUCUGGUGAGACUGCCGGUGACAAACCGGAGGAAGGUGGGGAUGACGUCAAAUCAUCAUGCCCCUUAUGACCUGGGCUACACACGUGCUACAAUGGACGGUACAACGAGUUGCGAAGUCGUGAGGCUAAGCUAAUCUCUUAAAGCCGUUCUCAGUUCGGAUUGUAGGCUGCAACUCGCCUACAUGAAGUUGGAAUCGCUAGUAAUCGCGGAUCAGCAUGCCGCGGUGAAUACGUUCCCGGGCCUUGUACACACCGCCCGUCACACCAUGAGAGUUUGUAACACCCAAAGCCGGUGAGAUAACCUUCGGGAGUCAGCC